rnacentral:lncRNA from 1 species
UGACAGGACUGUUUUGCUGUCGUUUUUGUUCAUUUUGUAGUGUUCUCUUGUUUUUUUAAAUUAAAAUUCUAAUGAUGAACACAUCCUCUGCUGCACCUUGGUUCCCUCUUACAGACAGCCGUUACAGCGGCACCAUGAAGACCAAGGAGCUCUCCAAACAGGUCAAGGACAAAGUUGUGGAGUAGUACAUAUCAAGGUUGGGUUAUAAGACAUAUCCAUAACUUUGAACAUCCCACGGAGCACCAUUAAAUCCAUUGUUAAAAAAUGGAAAGAAUAUGGCACCACAACAAACUUGCCAAGAGCGGGCUGCCUACCAAAACUCACGGACCAGGCAAGGAGGGCAUUAAUCAGAGAGGCAACAAGGAGACCAAAGAUAACCCUGAAGGAGCUGCAAAGCUCUACAGCAGAGAUUGGAGUAUCUGUCUAUAGGACCACUUUAAGCCGUACACUCCACAGAGCUGGGCAUUAUGGAAGUGUCCAGAAAAAAGCCAUUGCUUAAAACCUCUUGGGGCUAGGGGGCAGUAUUUUCACAGCCGGAUGAAAAACGUACCCAAUUUAAACAGGUUACUACUCUGGCCCAGAAAAUAGAAUAUGCAUAUUAUUAGUAGAUUUGGAUAGAAAACACUCUGAAGUUUCUAAAACUGUUUGAAUGGUGUCUGUGAGUAUAACAGAACUCAUAUGGCAGGCAAAAACCUGAGAAAAAUUGAAUGAGGAAGUGGGAGAAAUUAGAAAUGUAGUUUUUCUUUUGAAUCCCUUGAAAAACUACAGUGACAUAGGAUUUACGUUGCACCUCCUAACUCUUCCAUUGGCUGUCAACAAUCUUUAGGAGCUGGUUUCAUCCGUCACCUGUUACCGGGUAGAAAAUUGUGGCUCAGUCAAUCAGUGGCCAGUCUGAGGACAGGUGUCUUGUGACGCGCAUGCACGUGACUUCGCUGUUUGUUAUUAUCCUUCUGGGAUGAAUACCUAUUUCUCGGUUGUUAAAUUAUCGCAAUUUUACAUAAAAAAAUACUCUAAAGGAUUGAUUGUAAACAUCGUUUGACAUGUUUCUACAAACGGUAAUGGAACUUUUGAACAUUUUGUCUAUGGAUUUGUGUCCACGCCAUAUGGCAUUGUAAAGUGUUCUAGAUGGGUCAACAAAACGGAUGUAUUUGGACAUAAAUGAUGUACUUUGCAGAACAAAUGAACAAUUCUUGUGGAAGUGGGUGCCCUUCCGAGUGCAUUCCGCCGAAGAUCAGCAAAGGUAAGAAAAUAUUUACAACAUAUUUUUAGAGAUUUGUCGACACCGUGGUUGUAGGCUAACUGUAUAGCUUAGCGUUGAAGGCUAAGUUCUGUACUCAGAAUAUUGAACAAUGUGCUUUUCCGUAAAGUUAUUUUGAAAUCUGACAAAGUGGUUGCAUAAAGGAGUAGAUUAUCUCUAAUUCUUUAAAUAAUUGUUAUACAUUUUGUCAACGUUUAUGAGUUCUUCUGUAAAUGAAUGUGCCUAUUCACCGGAAGUUAUGGGGAGAAAACAUUUUCUGAACGUCACGCGCCAAUGUAGAAAUUGGGUUUUUGGAUAUAAAUAUGAACUUGAUCGAACAAAAAAAUGCAUGUAUUGUCUAACAUGAUGUCCUAGGAGUGUCAUCUGAUGAAGAUUGUCAAAGGGUAGUGCUUAAUUUUAGCUGUAUAUCUGGUUUUGUGACGGCUAUCCGUGCUUGGAAAAUAGCUUUUUUUUUUUGCUAAUGUGCUAUCCUAAAAUAAUCUAAUGUUUUGCUUUCACCGUAAAGCCUUUUUGAAAUCGGACAAUGUGAUUGGAUUAACGAGUAGAGUAUCUUUAAUAUGCCGUAUAAUACUUGAAUUUUAAUUUUGAGAUUAUAAUUAUUUUAAUUUUGCGCCGUGCGAUCUCACUGGUUGUUGUCCAACCACUCCCGUUAACGGGAUUUUAUCUCGAAGGGGUCCUCAAGAAGUUAAAUAAAAAAUUAAAAAAACACGUUUGGUGUUUGCCUAAAGGCAUGUGGGAGACUCCCCAAACACAUGGAAGAAGGUACUCUGGUCAGAUAAGACUAAAAUUGAGCUUUUUGUUCAUCAAGGAAAACGCUAUGUCUGGCGCAAACCCAACACCUCUCAUCACCCCGAGAAUAUCAUCCCCCACAGUGAAGCAUGGUGGUGGCACAAUCAUGCUGCGGGGAUGUUUUUCAUCGGCAGGGACUGGGAAACUGGUCGGAAUGAUAGAUGGUGCUAAAUGCAGGGAAAUUCUUGAGGGAAACCUGUUUGUCUUCCAGAGGUUUGAGACUGGGACGGAGGUUCACCUUCCAGCAGGACAAUGGCCCUAAGCAUAUUGCUAAAGCAACACUAGAGUGGUUUAAGGGAAAACAUUUAAAUGUCUUGGAAUGGCCUAGUCAAAGCCCAUACCUCAAUCCAAUUGAGAAUCUGUGGUAUGACUUAAAAUUGCUGUACAUCAGCAGAACACAUCCAACUUGAAGGAGCUGGAGCAGUUUUGCCUUGAAGAAUGGGCAAAAAUCCCAGUGGCUAGAUGUGCCAAGCAUAUAGAGACCCCAAGAGACUUGCAGCUGUAAUUGCUGCAAAAGGUGGCUCUACAAAGUAUUGACUUUCGGGGGUGAAUAGUUAUGCACGCUCAAGUUUUCUGUUUUAUUUCUUGUUUCACAAUAAAACAUAUUUUGCAUCUUCAAAGUGGUAGGCAUGUUGUGUAAAUGAAAUGAUACAACCCCCCCCCAAAAAAAAUCCAUUUUAAUUCCAGGUUGUAAGGCAAUAAAAUAGGGAAAAUGCCAAGGGGGGUGAAUACUUUCGCAAGCCACUGUAAAUGGCCAAAGUUCAGCACUGUUGCUACUCUCCCUAGGAGUGGCCGUCCUGCAAUGAUGCCUGCAAGAGCACAGCGCAGAAUGCUCAAUGAGGUUAAGAAAAAUCCUAGUGUCAGCUAAAUACCUACAGAAAUCUCUGGAACAUGCUAACAACUCUGUUGACGAGUCUACGAUACGUGAAACACUAAACUAAAAUGGUGUUCAUGUGAGGACACCACGGAAGAAGCCACUGCUGUAAAAAAAACAACAACAUUGCAGCACGUCUGAAGUCAGCAAAAGAGCACUUGGAUGUUCCACAGUGCAACUGGCUAAAUAUUCGGUGAACAGAUAACUACAGUUGAGUUGUUUGGAAAGAACAUACAACACUAUGUGUGGAGAAAAAAAGGCACACCAACAUCAAACCUCAUCCCAACUGUAAAGUAUGGUGGAGGGAGCAUCAUGGUUUGGGGCUGCCUCAGGGCCUGGACAGCUUGCUAUCAUCGACUGAAAAAUGAAUUCCCAAGUUUAUUAACUUCUUUGGGCUAGGUGGCAGUAUUUUCACGGCCGGAUAAAAAACGUACCCGAUUUUAAUCUGAUUACUACUCCUGCCCAGAAACUAGAAUAUGCAUAUAAUUAGUAGAUUUGGAUAUAAAACACUCUAAAGUUUCUAAAACUGUUUGAAUGGUGUCUGUGAGUAUAACAGAACUCAUAUGGCAGGCCAAAACCUGAGACGAUUCCAUACAGGAAGUGCCCUGUCUGACAAUUUGUUGUCCUUCUGUUGCAUCUCUAUCGAAAAUACAGCAUCUGUGCUGUAACGUGACAUUUUUUAAGGCUUCCAUUGGCUCUCUAAAGCCGCCAGAAAGUGGAAUGGGGUGUCUGCAGUCUCUGGGCAAAGAACAGCAGGAGAAUUUGUGAGUGGUCAGCCUGGGGACAGUGACACUGGAGAUGCGCGGUCACGAGACUACUCCAUGUUUUUCUUUCUCUCUUUGAAUGAAUACAAUGUUGCCCGGUUGGAAUAUUAUCGCUAUUUUAUGAGAAAAAUAGCAUAAAAAUUGAUUUUAAACAGCGUUUGGCAUGCUUCUAAGUACGGUAAUGGAAUAUUUAGAAUUUUUUUGUCACGAAAUGCGCUCGCGCGUCACCCUUCGGAUAGUGACCUGAACGCACGAACAAAAUGGAGCUAUUUGAAUAUAACUAUGGAUUAUUUGGAACCAAAACAACAUUUGUUGUUGAAGUAGAAGUCCUGGGAGUGCAUUCUGACGAAGAACAGCAAAGGUAAUCCAAUUUUUCUAAUAGUAAUUCUGAGUUUAGGUUGUCCCAAACUUGGUGGGUGUCAAAAUAGCUAGCCGUGAUGGCCGAGCUAUGUACUCAGAAUAUUGCAAAAUGUGCUUUCGCUGAAAAGCUAUUUUAAAAUCUGACACCGCGAUUGCAUAAAGGAGUUCUGUAUCUAUAAUUCUUAAAAUAAUUAUGUAUUUUGUGAACGUUUAUCGUGAGUAAUUUAGUAAAUUCACCGGAAGUUUGCGGUGGGUAUGCUAGUUCUGAACAUCACAUGCUAAUGUAAAAAGCUGGUUUUUGAUAUAAAUAUGAACUUUAUUGAACAAAACAUGCAUGUAUUGUAUGACAUAAUGUCCUAGGAGUGUCAUCUGAUGAAGAUCAUCAAAGGUUAGUGCUGCAUUUAGCUGUGGUUUGGGUUUAUGUGACAUAUAUGCUUGCUUGGAAAAUGGCUGUGUGAUUAUUUGUCUAUGUACUCUCCUAACAUAAUCUAAUGUUUUGCUUUCGCUGUAAAGCCUUUUUGAAAUCGGACAAUGUGAUUAGAUUAACGAGAGUCUUGUCUUUAAAAUGGUGUAAAAUAGUUGAUUGUUUGAGAAAAUUGAAUUGUGGUAUUUUAGUUGGUUUUGUAUUUCGCACCGUGCGAUGCCAUUGGCUGUUGGCUAGGGGUUCCGCAGGCGGAACGGGGUUCCGCUAGCGGAACGUCUGUCCUCAACAGGUUAACUUCCUGACUGAUGUCUUGAGAUGUUGCUUCAAUAUAUCCACAUAAUUUUCUUGCCUCAUGAUGCCGUCUAUUUUGUGAAGUGCACCAAUCCCUCCUGCAGCAAAGCACCCCCACAACAUGAUGCUGCCACCCCCGUGCUUAACGGUUGGGAUGGUGUUCUUCGUCUUGCAAGCGUCCUCCUUUUUCCUCCAAACAUAACAAUGGUCAUUAUGGCCAAAAAGUUAUAUUUUUGUUUCAUCAGACCAGAGGACAUUUCCCCAAAAAGUACGAUCUUUGUCCCCAUGUACAGUUGCAAACCGUAGUCUGGCUUUUUUAUGGUGGUUUUAGAGCAGUGGCUUCUUCCUUGCUGAGCAGCCUUUCAGGUUAUGUCGAUAUAGGACUUGUUUUACUGUGGAUAUAGAUACUUUUGUACCUGUUUCCUCCAGCAUCUUCACAAGGUCCUUUUCUGUUGUUCUGGGAUUGAUUUCACUUUACGCAUCAAAGUACGUUCAUCUCUAGGAGACAGAAUGCGUCUCCUUCCUGAGUGGUAUGCCGACUGCCUGGUUCCAUGGUGUUUAUACCUGCAUACUAUUCUUUGCACAGAUGACCGUGGUACCUUCAGGUGUUUGGAAAUUGCUCCCAGGGAUGAUCCAGACUUGUGGAGGUCUACAAUUAUUUUCUGAGGUCUUGGCUGAUUUCUUUAGAUUUUCCCAUGAUGUCAAGCAAAGAGGCACUGAGUUUGAAGCUGACUGUGCCAUUUGGAAGAGUCUUAGCUCGACCAAGAUGGAUGUACAGAAUCUAUAGAGGAAGGGAUGAGAGGAGAGAAGGAGAAAUAAAAUACUGUUAGCAGUCAGGGAUAAAGCAACAAAGGGAGAGCAGUUGUCACGAAUCCCACCGAAGGUGGCUCCCCUGCCUGCUCGAGCGGCGCUCGGCGGUCGUCGUCGCCGGCCUACUAUCCACCGCUGAUCCUUUUUUCAUUUUCUGUUUGUAAUGUCUUAUUGGUUGCACCUGUUCCCUAUUGUGUGUCUUGAUUUGUGUUUAUUUAAGCCUGCUUAGCCCGCCCAGGUUUGUGCGGGAUUAUUUUGCUGUCGUUGUAUUUUUUGGAUGUGCUGGCUAUUCGCCUUGUAUUCUCUCUCCGGACUGUGUGCCCGUUGUUCUGGGUUGGUCGUUUGUUCACGCGCCCGUUUGUGUUGGCAUUGACCGUUUUGUGCCAGAAAGAAUAAAGGACAUUAUACCUUACCUCUGCUCUCUGUGCCUGACUCCUACCACCACUCCUAGUGUUCCGUGACAGCAGUCAAUGAAAAUACAGAAAACAGAGAAGGUGUAAGUGAGAAAGAGAGCGAGCACCAGAUGACAUGUGGGAGGCUUAUUUUAUUUUUAAAUUUUGAAUAUUUUAUUUUUGCAUAUUCCAAUUAAGAACAUUCAAAACAAAAGUGAAAAGAUAGACAACAAUGGGAAAAAGUGACAGUAACAGACGAG